AGUUGUAGAAUCACUGGUGAAUAAGGGGUGGGCAAGUUCUGGUGUCAGCCGCCGCGGUAAAACCAGCACCUCGAGUGGUCAGGAGGUUUAUUGGGCCUAAAGCAUCCGUAGCCGGUUGCAUAAGUUUUCGGUUAAAUCUAUGCGCUUAACGUAUAGGCCGCCGAAAAUACUGUGCAGCUAGGGAGUGGGAGAGGUACACGGUACUCGAUAGGAAGGGGUAAAAUCCUUUGAUCUAUUGAUGACCACCUGUGGCGAAGGCGGUGUACCAGAACACGUUCGACGGUGAGGGAUGAAAGCUGGGGGAGCAAACCGGAUUAGAUACCCGGGUAGUCCCAGCUGUAAACGAUGCAGACUCGGUGAUGCAUUGGCUUGUGGCCAAUGCAGUGCCGCAGGGAAGCCGUUAAGUCUGCCGCCUGGGAAGUACGUACGCAAGUAUGAAACUUAAAGGAAUUGGCGGGGGAGCACCACAAGGGGUGAAGCCUGCGGUUCAAUUGGAGUCAACGCCAGAAAUCUUACCUGGGGAGACAGCAGAAUGAAGGUCAAGCUGAAGACUUUACCAGACACGCCGAGAGGUGGUGCAUGGCCGUCGCCAGCUCGUGCCGUGAGAUGUCCUGUUAAGUCAGGUAACGAGCGAGACCCCUGCGUCUAGUUGCUACCAUUACUCUCUGGAGCAGUGGAGCGAAUUAGACGGACCGCCACAGUUAAUGUGGAGGAAGGAAGGGGCCACGGCAGGUCAGUAUGCCCCGAAACCCUAGGGCUACACGCGGGCUGCAAUGGUAUUGACAUGUGUUCCGAAUCCGAAAGGAGGAGGCAAUCAUCAAACAUAUCUCAGUUACGACUGAGGGC
rnacentral:rRNA from 1 species